UGAAGCAAAGUUUAAAACUUUAGCUUUUGAUGCUAACAAAGGCAAUUAAUUUUGCCUGUUUCAA
rnacentral:tRNA from 1 species